rnacentral:rRNA from 1 species
GACGAACGCUGGCGGCGUGCUUAACACAUGCAAGUCGAACGGAAAGGCCCUGCUUUUGUGGGGUGCUCGAGUGGCGAACGGGUGAGUAACACGUGAGUAACCUGCCCUUGACUUUGGGAUAACUUCAGGAAACUGGGGCUAAUACCGGAUAGGAGCUCCUGCUGCAUGGUGGGGGUUGGAAAGUUUCGGCGGUUGGGGAUGGACUCGCGGCUUAUCAGCCUGUUGGUGGGGUAGUGGCUUACCAAGGCUUUGACGGGUAGCCGGCCUGAGAGGGUGACCGGCCACAUUGGGACUGAGAUACGGCCCAGACUCCUACGGGAGGCAGCAGUGGGGAAUAUUGCACAAUGGGCGGAAGCCUGAUGCAGCAACGCCGCGUGCGGAAUGACGGCCUUCGGGUUGUAAACCGCUUUCGCCUGUGACGAAGCGUGAGUGACGGUAAUGGGUAAAGAAGCACCGGCUAACUACGUG